CUGCGGGAAGACACAAGAACACAUAUCCUUCCGCUGAAGUCACAGUGGACCUAUCAUUUGAGUGAAACGAUGGUGAAAAACGUGUUAAACGCCUAUAUCUAAAUUAUAAUUGUUUAAGAUCUCUUUAGAAAAUUCGUACUACUUAAUACAUUCGUUGACUGUAUCCAGGACACCACAAAAAAAGCACACUCAAAGUUUUCUUUUUCUGUGUCGCCGCCGCGGAGGAAUUUUUUUUCUCAUUUUUCUACUUCUCGGUGCUUGGAUGACUCAAAAUUAACCCGUUCAAUGAUGUUUUUUUUUCUUUUCUCCUCCCCUUGAACUACACGCUUUUUCCCGAUAUGUCUUCUAACACCCACUCUUCACUAACUUUCUUCUCUAGCAUGACUUUUCAUGCCAUACUGAGCAUAAGGCUUCAUCGUUAACAACUGCAGUGUUCAGACCCAGACUACAUCAUUUUGCUACUGUGUGCGAGGAAAUAAAAGUGAAGAUAGAUUAUACCAGAGAAACACUGCCGAGCCUCCUGCCGCUGCGACCGGCCCUCUGUCCUCUAUUCAACCCUGCUGAAAGGCCUGGGACCAGGGGGAGCAAAUUGAUCUCCUCAGGGUGGUCAAAGGUGGAGAGUCAGCGAGCACGAGUGCCUGAUGUGACCAAGCGUGAUGUGGGUAGUGGCCUCAGCCAAAGGGGUCCCUGAUGAGGAGAAAAGGGGAGCUGGCAGAGAGAUGAGUUUGACAUACCUAAAGGGCAAUUCGAGCACUCAGCGUGAGAUACUCUUGCAGAAUUAUGACGGCAAGGUGUGAUGGGUCAGGAGUGGUCUGCGAUGAGGUGAUAAAGAACACACAGCGUGCAGCGCAGGUCGAGGCCUGCGGAACAGCCCUGCUCCGCGCACCACACCGACCCCCCCUGUGAGAAGUUCCCGGUUCCCAGGACCCGGUGUGUACGUUUGGGGGCAAUAACUCACCAGGUCCCUUUAACUUCCUCUUUCGGCCUUCUGCGUUUUAUGACCCUCUCCUCUGCCAUACAGCUGCUGUCUCCGCAGCUUCCCUUUACUCUGAUUGGAUCAGACGGGGAGUUUGAGAGAAGAGGAUGAACGGGGGGAAGAGACGGGGGGAAGCAGCUGGGAUGAGGUGGGAAGCUGGUCUGAUAUGGGAUGGAAUUUUUAUCAGGGCCUUCACAGAGGACGAGAUGGACACAGUAUCCGUCAUUGUGGUCUGCUUCAUACUGCUCCUUUCCACCACACUUUACGUGUACAUUGGGAAACUUAGCAGCCUCAUAAUCAGGCUGAAUCGCCAGUUUGUUUUUCCCUUCAUUAAUUCAGUUUAAAUCACUAAAAAUCUGGAUAUGCAAGCAGUGAUUCAGAUUUCUAGGAAAGCAUUUUUAUUUUUUUUCCAUUUAACAGUACUGUUCUUACAAAUCUGUAAUGUUUCUUUUGAACUGCUCAGCAGGGAUUUACAGCAACUGUACAUUAAAGCAUUGAUUAAAAUA